rnacentral:rRNA from 1 species
UACAGAGGGUGCAAGCGUUAAUCGGAAUUACUGGGCGUAAAGAGUGCGUAGGCGGUUUUCUAAGUUUGGUGUGAAAUCUCCCGGCUCAACUGGGAGGGUGCGCCGAAGACUGGAAGGCUUGAGUAUGGGAGAGGUAAGCGGAAUUCCUGGUGUAGCGGUGAAAUGCGUAGAUAUCAGGAGGAACACCUGCGGUGUAGACGGCUUACUGGACCAUAACUGACGCUGAGGCACGAAAGCGUGGGUAGCAAACAGG